GAUGAACGCUGGCGGCGUGCCUAAUACAUGCAAGUCGAGCGAACGGACGAGAAGCUUGCUUCUCUGAUGUUAGCGGCGGACGGGUGAGUAACACGUGGAUAACCUACCUAUAAGACUGGGAUAACUUCGGGAAACCGGAGCUAAUACCGGAUGAUAUUUUGAACCGCAUGGUUCAAAAGUGAAAGACGGUCUUGCUGUCACUUAUAGAUGGAUCCGCGCUGCAUUAGCUAGUUGGUAAGGUAACGGCUUACCAAGGCAACGAUGCAUAGCCGACCUGAGAGGGAGAUCGGCCACACUGGAACUGAGACACGGUCCAGACUCCUAAGGGAGGCAGCAGUAGGGAAUCUUCCGCAAUGGGCGAAAGCCUGACGGAGCAACGCCGCGUGAGUGAUGAAGGUCUUCGGAUCGUAAAACUCUGUUAUUAGGGAAGAACAUAUGUGUAAGUAACUGUGCACAUCUUGACGGUACCUAAUCAGAAAGCCACGGCUAACUACGUG
rnacentral:rRNA from 1 species